rnacentral:lncRNA from 1 species
GUCAAGCUCUUUAUCAGGAAACUAGCCAUCACAGCCGAGGGCAUGGGUUAUGCAUCACCACCAGCCUCCCUGUUACUCUUAACCCUUACCUGUGGAGGGAAGUCGUGGAGUCUCACCACUGUUCCAAGGACUACAUAUUUACCAGAUGGAGGACUUUGGAAGAUGGCUCUUAGGAGGUCUGUUGGGUCUACUGAAGGUUAUCGUCUCUUGAUUUUACACAGAAUCACAUAA